rnacentral:rRNA from 1 species
UGAGUAAUGUCUGGGAAACUGCCUGAUGGAGGGGGAUAACUACUGGAAACGGUAGCUAAUACCGCAUAACGUCGCAAGACCAAAGUGGGGGACCUUCGGGCCUCAUGCCAUCAGAUGUGCCCAGAUGGGAUUAGCUAGUAGGUGAGGUAAUGGCUCACCUAGGCGACGAUCCCUAGCUGGUCUGAGAGGAUGACCAGCCACACUGGAACUGAGACACGGUCCAGACUCCUACGGGAGGCAGCAGUGGGGAAUAUUGCACAAUGGGCGCAAGCCUGAUGCAGCCAUGCCGCGUGUAUGAAGAAGGCCUUCGGGUUGUAA